CUGUGUCCUGGGUGAAAGUCCGGUGUUUCCCCAUCCACCACCCCGACCAACCUCCUUAUGCAGAUUUUCACUCUUUCAUAGUACUCGCUAGGCGUGAAUUCACACGCUAUUGUAAGACAAUGUAAGUCAAUGGAGGCCAAACAACAUUGAUUAACACGCUAAAAAGCGAGUAUGCGUCUUGAUAACAAGCCAAUAAUGGCAUACGAAUUGGCGUGGCAUGCAUACGCCAUUUCCUGAAAACACUCUGUGGGUGUGUGAGUGCAUUGCUUA